rnacentral:rRNA from 1 species
GGGUUGUGAGGUUAAGCGACUAAGCGUACACGGUGGAUGCCCUGGCAGUCAGAGGCGAUGAAGGACGUGCUAAUCUGCGAUAAGCGUCGGUAAGGUGAUAUGAACCGUUAUAACCGGCGAUUUCCGAAUGGGGAAACCCAGUGUGUUUCGACACACUAUCAUUAACUGAAUCCAUAGGUUAAUGAGGCGAACCGGGGGAACUGAAACAUCUAAGUACCCCGAGGAAAAGAAAUCAACCGAGAUUCCCCCAGUAGCGGCGAGCGAACGGGGAGCAGCCCAGAGCCUGAAUCAGUGUGUGUGUUAGUGGAAGCGUCUGGAAAGGCGCGCGAUACAGGGUGACAGCCCCGUACACAAAAAUGCACAUGCUGUGAGCUCGAUGAGUAGGGCGGGACACGUGGUAUCCUGUCUGAAUAUGGGGGGACCAUCCUCCAAGGCUAAAUACUCCUGACUGACCGAUAGUGAACCAGUACCGUGAGGGAAAGGCGAAAAGAACCCCGGCGAGGGGAGUGAAAAAGAACCUGAAACCGUGUACGUACAAGCAGUGGGAGCACGCUUAGGCGUGUGACUGCGUACCUUUUGUAUAAUGGGUCAGCGACUUAUAUUCUGUAGCAAGGUUAACCGAAUAGGGGAGCCGAAGGGAAACCGAGUCUUAACUGGGCGUUAAGUUGCAGGGUAUAGACCCGAAACCCGGUGAUCUAGCCAUGGGCAGGUUGAAGGUUGGGUAACACUAACUGGAGGACCGAACCGACUAAUGUUGAAAAAUUAGCGGAUGACUUGUGGCUGGGGGUGAAAGGCCAAUCAAACCGGGAGAUAGCUGGUUCUCCCCGAAAGCUAUUUAGGUAGCGCCUCGUGAAUUCAUCUCCGGGGGUAGAGCACUGUUUCGGCAAGGGGGUCAUCCCGACUUACCAACCCGAUGCAAACUGCGAAUACCGGAGAAUGUUAUCACGGGAGACACACGGCGGGUGCUAACGUCCGUCGUGAAGAGGGAAACAACCCAGACCGCCAGCUAAGGUCCCAAAGUCAUGGUUAAGUGGGAAACGAUGUGGGAAGGCCCAGACAGCCAGGAUGUUGGCUUAGAAGCAGCCAUCAUUUAAAGAAAGCGUAAUAGCUCACUGGUCGAGUCGGCCUGCGCGGAAGAUGUAACGGGGCUAAACCAUGCACCGAAGCUGCGGCAGCGACGCUGAUGCGUUGUUGGGUAGGGGAGCGUUCUGUAAGCCUGCGAAGGUGUGCUGUGAGGCAUGCUGGAGGUAUCAGAAGUGCGAAUGCUGACAUAAGUAACGAUAAAGCGGGUGAAAAGCCCGCUCGCCGGAAGACCAAGGGUUCCUGUCCAACGUUAAUCGGGGCAGGGUGAGUCGACCCCUAAGGCGAGGCCGAAAGGCGUAGUCGAUGGGAAACAGGUUAAUAUUCCUGUACUUGGUGUUACUGCGAAGGGGGGACGGAGAAGGCUAUGUUGGCCGGGCGACGGUUGUCCCGGUUUAAGCGUGUAGGCUGGUUUUCCAGGCAAAUCCGGAAAAUCAAGGCUGAGGCGUGAUGACGAGGCACUACGGUGCUGAAGCAACAAAUGCCCUGCUUCCAGGAAAAGCCUCUAAGCAUCAGGUAACAUCAAAUCGUACCCCAAACCGACACAGGUGGUCAGGUAGAGAAUACCAAGGCGCUUGAGAGAACUCGGGUGAAGGAACUAGGCAAAAUGGUGCCGUAACUUCGGGAGAAGGCACGCUGAUAUGUAGGUGAAGUCCCUCGCGGAUGGAGCUGAAAUCAGUCGAAGAUACCAGCUGGCUGCAACUGUUUAUUAAAAACACAGCACUGUGCAAACACGAAAGUGGACGUAUACGGUGUGACGCCUGCCCGGUGCCGGAAGGUUAAUUGAUGGGGUCAGCGCAAGCGAAGCUCUUGAUCGAAGCCCCGGUAAACGGCGGCCGUAACUAUAACGGUCCUAAGGUAGCGAAAUUCCUUGUCGGGUAAGUUCCGACCUGCACGAAUGGCGUAAUGAUGGCCAGGCUGUCUCCACCCGAGACUCAGUGAAAUUGAACUCGCUGUGAAGAUGCAGUGUACCCGCGGCAAGACGGAAAGACCCCGUGAACCUUUACUAUAGCUUGACACUGAACAUUGAGCCUUGAUGUGUAGGAUAGGUGGGAGGCUUUGAAGUGUGGACGCCAGUCUGCAUGGAGCCGACCUUGAAAUACCACCCUUUAAUGUUUGAUGUUCUAACGUUGACCCGUGAUCCGGGUUGCGGACAGUGUCUGGUGGGUAGUUUGACUGGGGCGGUCUCCUCCUAAAGAGUAACGGAGGAGCACGAAGGUUGGCUAAUCCUGGUCGGACAUCAGGAGGUUAGUGCAAUGGCAUAAGCCAGCUUGACUGCGAGCGUGACGGCGCGAGCAGGUGCGAAAGCAGGUCAUAGUGAUCCGGUGGUUCUGAAUGGAAGGGCCAUCGCUCAACGGAUAAAAGGUACUCCGGGGAUAACAGGCUGAUACCGCCCAAGAGUUCAUAUCGACGGCGGUGUUUGGCACCUCGAUGUCGGCUCAUCACAUCCUGGGGCUGAAGUAGGUCCCAAGGGUAUGGCUGUUCGCCAUUUAAAGUGGUACGCGAGCUGGGUUUAGAACGUCGUGAGACAGUUCGGUCCCUAUCUGCCGUGGGCGCUGGAGAACUGAGGGGGCUGCUCCUAGUACGAGAGGACCGGAGUGGACGCAUCACUGGUGUUCGGGUUGUCAUGCCAAUGGCACUGCCCGGUAGCUAAAUGCGGAAGAGAUAAGUGCUGAAAGCAUCUAAGCACGAAACUUGCCCCGAGAUGAGUUCUCCCUGACUCCUUGAGAGUCCUGAAGGAACGUUGAAGACGACGACGUUGAUAGGCCGGGUGUGUAAGCGCAGCGAUGCGUUGAGCUAACCGGUACUAAUGAACCGUGAGGCUUAACCUUACAACGCCGAAGGUGUUU